rnacentral:rRNA from 1 species
CCUACGGGGGGCAGCAGUAGGGAAUAUUGCUCAAUGGGGGAAACCCUGAAGCAGCAACGCCGCGUGGAGGAUGAAGGUUCUCGGAUUGUAAACCCCUUUUUUUAGAGAAGAUAAUGACGGUACCUAACGAAUAAGCACCGUCUAACUCCGUUCCAGCAGCCGCGGUAAUACGGAGGGUGCAAGCGUUAUUCGGAAUCACUGGGCGUAAAGGGCGCGUAGGCGGGUUAGCAAGUCAGAUGUGAAAUCCUAUGGCUUAACCAUAGAACUGCAUUUGAAACUGUUAGGCUAGAGUUUGGGAGAGGUAGGUGGAAUGCUUGGUGUAGGGGUAAAAUCCAUAGAGAUCAAGAAGAAUACUGAUUGCGAAGGCGGCCUACUAGAACAUAACUGACGCUGAUGCACGAAAGCGUGGGGAGCAAACAGGAUUAGAUACCCGGGUAGUC